AGCAGCCGCGGUAAUUCCAGCUCCAAUAGCGUAUAUUAAAGUUGUUGCAGUUAAAAAGCUCGUAGUUGAAUUUCGGGAUUGGCGCAUCGGUCGUGCCUCACGGGGUAUGAACUGGUGCAGUCAAUUUCUCACCUUCUGGAGAACCGCGAUGUCCUUAAUUGGAUGCCGCGGGGAACCAGGACCUUUACUUUGAAAAAAUUAGAGUGUUUAAAGCAGGCAUUUUUGCUUGAAUACAUUAGCAUGGAAUAAUAAAAUAGGACGGCAUGGUUCUAUUUUGUUGGUUUCUAGGACCACCGUAAUGAUUAAUAGGGAUAGUUGGGGGCAUUAGUAUUCAAUUGUCAGAGGUGAAAUUCUUGGAUUUAUUGAAGACUAACUACUGCGAAAGCAUUUGCCAAGGAUGUUUUCAUUAAUCAAGAACGAAAGUUAGGGGAUCGAAGACGAUCAGAUACCGUCGUAGUCUUAACCAUAAACUAAUGCCGACUAGGAAUCAGACGAUGUUAAUUUUUAAUGACUCGUUUGG
rnacentral:rRNA from 1 species